GUGUGGAGAGACAGAGGAGGAGAGGAUUC
rnacentral:piRNA from 1 species